GACGAACGCUGGCGGCGUGCUUAACACAUGCAAGUCGAACGGAAAGGCCCUGCUUUUGUGGGGUGCUCGAGUGGCGAACGGGUGAGUAACACGUGAGUAACCUGCCCUUGACUUUGGGAUAACUUCAGGAAACUGGGGCUAAUACCGGAUAGGAGCUCCUGCUGCAUGGUGGGGGUUGGAAAGUUUCGGCGGUUGGGGAUGGACUCGCGGCUUAUCAGCUUGUUGGUGGGGUAGUGGCUUACCAAGGCUUUGACGGGUAGCCGGCCUGAGAGGGUGACCGGGCACAUUGGGACUGAGAUACGGACCAGACUCCUACGGGAGGCAGCAGUGGGGAAUAUUGCACAAUGGGCGGAAGCCUGAUGCAGCAACGCCGCGUGCGGGAUGAAGGCCUUCGGGUUGUAAACCGCUUUCGCCUGUGACGAAGCGUGAGUGACGGUAAUGGGUAAAGAAGCACCGGCUAACUACGUG
rnacentral:rRNA from 1 species